rnacentral:lncRNA from 1 species
CAUUACAACGACACAAGGGUUCGGCGCGCCAAGUGGGUUGGUCACCAACCGAAGGCACGAAGAAUUUUUCUGACGCUCCGCGCUCAACCAUUCGCUAGUCGAGUAACUUACGUGAUACAGGCAAUCGCACCUGUAACUGGGAACCGGGUAGGGCGCAGCGGACACCCCGAAAGAGAAUCGCCAAACCUUGCGAGACUGCGUUAAUGAUUCUUGGGAAAUAUAUGCAAUAAUGCACUUCUUACUCUCAGUUGCAGU